rnacentral:rRNA from 1 species
UGGCAGUUAGAGGCGAUGAAGGACGUGUAAGUCUGCGAAAAGCUGUGGUGAGCCGACAAAAUGCAUUUGAGCCACAGAUGUCCGAAUGGGGAAACCCACCUGUUUACAGGUAUCGUUAACUGAAUACAUAGGUUAACGAGGCAAACGAGGGGAACUGAAACAUCUAAGUACCCUUAGGAAAAGAAAUCAACCGAGAUUCCCCUAGUAGCGGCGAGCGAACGGGGAGCAGCCCUUAAGCUGUUUAGAAUUUAGUGGAAUCCUUUGGGAAGAGGAGCGAUACAAGGUGAUAGCCCUGUACACGACGGAUUCUUUACAGUGAAAUCGAGUAGGUCGGGACACGUGUUAUCUUGACUGAAUAUGGGGGGACCAUCCUCCAAGGCUAAAUACUCCUAACUGACCGAUAGUGAACCAGUACCGUGAGGGAAAGGCGAAAAGAGCCCCUGUGAGGGGAGUGAAAUAGAACCUGAAACCGUAUACGUACAAGCAGUGGGAGCCACUUCGUGUGGUGACUGCGUACCUUUUGUAUAAUGGGUCAGCGACUUAUAUUUAGUAGCAAGGUUAACCGUUUAGGGGAGCCGUAGCGAAAGCGAGUGUUAACUGCGCGUCUAGUUGCUAGGUAUAGACCCGAAACCCGGUGAUCUAGCCAUGGGCAGGUUGAAGGUUGAGUAACGUCAACUGGAGGACCGAACCCACUAACGUU